CCAGACUCCUACGGGAGGCAGCAGUGGGGAAUAUUGCACAAUGGGGGAAACCCUGAUGCAGCGACGCCGCGUGAGUGAAGAAGUAUCUCGGUACGUAAAGCUCUAUCAGCAGGGAAGAUAAUGACGGUACCUGACCAAGAAGCCCCGGCUAACUACGUGCCAGCAGCCGCGGUAAUACGUAGGGGGCAAGCGUUAUCCGGAUUUACUGGGUGUAAAGGGGGCGCAGACGGCAAUGCAAGCCAGGAGUGAAAGCCCGCGGCCCAACUGCGGGACUGCUUUGGAAACUGCCCGGCUAGAGUGCUGGAGAGGUAAGCGGAAUUCCUAGUGUAGCGGUGAAAUGCGUAGAUAUUAGGAGGAACACCAGUGGCGAAGGCGGCUUACUGGACAGUAACUGACGUUGAGGCUCGAAAGCGUGGGGAGCGAACAGGAUUAGAUACCCUAGUA
rnacentral:rRNA from 1 species